ACUCUGAUCUAGUAUCACAAGGCUUUCCCUAGUUUUCUAGUCCAUACUUCUGGCUCUUUUUUAGAAACCCAGAGCAGACUGGCAAGCUUGAUUCUUAUUCCUGGAUCUCCAUAUGAUUCUCUUCUUUGAAAUUCAGAUUUUGUGACCAAAUCCACAGCAGUUCCAGCUCUUUCUGAGGAUGUCCCAUAGGAUAGGCAUGAUGCCUGGCCUACAUAGUGGGUAUCAGAUGUUAACUGCCUUUGACUCCUUACCACUUGUCGAUGUCUGUCACACAGGUGCUCAGUAAGUGUUGGUGAAAUGAACUUUAACAUGGACGGGGAUGCUUUGAGAGGCCAGUGUUGUGUUGUCUUUGGUGAGGUCAUCAAGCUGAAGUGCUUGCCAGAGAUUCAUUCAUUCAUCCAGCAAAUGUCUGUUGAGAAUCAAUACAUGUUUAUUUAAA